GGUCUCCAAUGGCAGACAGAAUUUUUCCUGAGGAGCCAGGUUAACUGUGCCAACCAGCUACUAGGCAGCAGCAGUAGUGUGGGGUGAUACUGGCAGAGAAUUUCUGAGAGACAACAGCGGUGGCACUAUAGGAAUGGCAAGCACAAGCAAUGGCAUCCAUCCCUUUCUCCAGUAGUGAUGUUCUCAGCACUUCAAGAACCAACCUUUCUUCUUUCCUUCCAUAGCAAUAUUAACGAUAAAACUGAUAGAUAUAAUACUGGGUAAUACAGUGGAUAAGGAUAUACGCUCCACUGCAAUGCAUUGUUCCCUUUUCCAACAAUUUUGUUUUGACUCAGGGACAUACAGAAGGCUUUUGUCAAAGAGAGGAAACACGCUCAGAGCACACUUUGCAAAAUGGUUUAAAUAAAGAUUCCAAAUCUAGAGAUACUAACAUAUUCUCACAAUUCAGCCAAACAGAAGGAAAACUGAAUCCUACUGAAAGCAAUAAAAUUAGACCGUCUGAAUGCA